ACCAAAUGACUCCUCCCACAAUAUUAUGAUGUUCCCCAAGUUUUGGACUCAAUCCGAUAUCGAUUGGUCCUUGAAAUCGGACAAUUCAGUUCCGUACGAAGUUCGUUCUGAAAUGGUGUGGUUGGUGUAUUGUAUAGUUCUAGAGAUUGGAUUUCACUCAAAACCCACCAAAUGACUCCUCCCACAAUAUUAUGAUGUUCCCCAAGUU
rnacentral:lncRNA from 1 species